AUAUCAAUAAGCGGAGGAAAAGAAACUAACAAGGAUUCCCCUAGUAACGGCGAGUGAAGAGGGAAGAGCCCAAGAUUGAAAGCUGGCGUCUUCGGCGUCCGCAUUGUAAUCUCAAGAAGUGUUUUCCGCUUCGGACCAAGCCUAAGUCCCUUGGAAAAGGGCAUCAUAGAGGGUGAUAAUCCCGUACAUGGCUUGGAGCGCCCGAAGCUUUGUGAUACGCUUUCUAAGAGUCGAGUUGUUUGGGAAUGCAGCUCAAAAUGGGUGGUAAAUGCCAUCUAAGGCUAAAUAUUGGGGAGAGACCGAUAGCGAACAAGUACAGUGAUGGAAAGAUGAAAAGAACUUUGAAAAGAGAGUUAAACAGUACGUGAAAUUGCCAAAAGGGAAGGGUAGGAGGUCAGAGAUGCGGCCUGGGAUUCAGCCUUGCUUUUGCUUGGUGUUUUUCCCAGAUUGCAGGCCAACGUCGGUUUUGGGCACUGGAGAAGGGUAGGAGGAACGUGGCACCUCUCGGGGUGUGUUAUAGCCUCCUACUGGAUACAGCGACCGAGACCGAGGACAGCAGCGUACUCGCAAGAGCGGGCCUUCGGGCACCUUUACGCUUAGGGCGUUGGCAUAAUGGCCCUCUACCACCCGUCUUGAAACACGGACCAAGGAGUCUAACAUGUAUGCGAGUCUUUGGGUGGCAAACCCAUAGGCGCAAUGAAAGUGAAUUCAGGUGGGAUCCGCAAGGUGCACCAUCGACCGAUCCUCACGUCUUUUAAGUCGUGGAUUUGAGUAAGAGCAUACCUGUUGGGACCCGAAAGAUGGUGAACUAUGCCUGAAUAGGGUGAAGCCAGAGGAAACUCUGGUGGAGGCUCGUAGCGGUUCUGACGUGCAAAUCGAUCGUCAAAUUUGGGUAUAGGGGCGAAAGACUAAUCGAACCAUCUAGUAGCUGGUCU
rnacentral:rRNA from 1 species